UACGAAGGGGGCUAGCGUUGCUCGGAAUUACUGGGCGUAAAGCGCACGUAGGCGGCUUCUUAAGUCGGUGGUGAAAUCCGUGGAGCUCAACUCCAGAACUGCCUUCGAUACUGGGAGCUCGAGUCCGGGAGAGGUGAGUGGAACUGCGAGUGUAGAGGUGAAAUUCGUAGAUAUUCGCAAGAACACCAGUGGCGAAGGCGGCUCACUGGCCCGAUACUGACGCUGAGGCACGGAAAGCGAUGGGGAGCAAACAGG
rnacentral:rRNA from 1 species